rnacentral:rRNA from 1 species
AUGGCUGCGUCUCACCCAAGCACAGAAAUGGCUGCGUCGCCGAUGGUGCGGCCGACGGUGCAGGAGCUGGCGGCGGCCGGCGCCGAGGAGCCGCCGCGGCAGUACGUGCUGCCGGAGCAAGACCGUCACGGCGACCUGCUGGCCGCCGACGAGUUUCCGGAGCCCAUCCCCCUCGUCGACCUUAGCCGGCUCACGGACGCCGACGAGGCCGAGAGGCUCCGGGCGGCUCUGCAGACCUGGGGCUUCUUCCUGGCCACCAACCAUGGGAUCGAGGACUCUCUCAUGGACGCCAUGACGAGCGUGUCGAGGGAGUUCUUCCGGCAGCCGGCGGAGGAGAGGCAGAAAUGCAGCAACCUGGUGGACGGCAACGGCAAGGACUACCAGGUGGAAGGGUAUGGCAGUGACAAGGUGGUGUCCGACGAUCAGGUCCUCAACUGGAGCGACCGGUUGCAUCUGAGAGUGGAGCCGGAGGAUGAGAGGAAUUUCGCCAAGUGGCCCAGUCACCCCGAAUCUUUCAGGGAUGUGCUACAAGAGUAUGCAUCAAGAAUCAAGAAAAUAAGAGACCUCGUCUUACGGUCGAUAGCCAAGCUCCUGGAGAUUGACGAGGACUACUUCGUCAACCAGAUAUCAAACAAGGCCCCCGGGUUUGCUAGAUUCAACUACUACCCUCCAUGUCCGAGGCCUGACCUAGUUUUGGGCCUCAGGGCUCACUCCGACGGUGGUCUCCUUACCAUCCUUUUCAACGAUGACACCGUCGGUGGCUUGCAAGUUCAGAGAGAUGGGAGAUGGUACAAUGUUCCAGCAAAGCCUCACACAUUGCUGAUUAACCUAGCAGACUGCCUAGAAAUAAUGAACAAUGGAAUCUUUACGAGCCCGGUUCACAGAGUGGUGACGAACGUCGAGAAGGAUAGGCUUUCCUUGGCUGUGUUUUACGCCGUGGAUGCAGAAACGAUGUUGGAGCCAGCGCCCGGUUUGCUGGAUGACAAGCGACCGCCAAGAUAUAAGAAAAUGGUGGCCAAGGAUUUUGUGGCUGGGCUCUUUGAACAUUUCCGUCAAGGGAAGAGAUUCAUUGACACCCUGAAAAUAUAG